rnacentral:rRNA from 1 species
AGAGUUUGAUCCUGGCUCAGGACGAACGCUGGCGGCGCGCCUAACACAUGCAAGUCGAACGGAGCUGAGAGGAGCUUGCUUUUCUUAGCUUAGUGGCGAACGGGUGAGUAACGCGUGAGUAACCUGCCCUGGAGUGGGGGACAACAGUUGGAAACGACUGCUAAUACCGCAUAAGCCCACGGUACCGCAUGGUACUGAGGGAAAAGGAUUUAUUCGCUUCAGGAUGGACUCGCGUCCAAUUAGCUAGUUGGUGAGGUAACGGCCCACCAAGGCGACGAUUGGUAGCCGGACUGAGAGGUUGAACGGCCACAUUGGGACUGAGACACGGCCCAGACUCCUACGGGAGGCAGCAGUGGGGGAUAUUGCACAAUGGGGGAAACCCUGAUGCAGCGACGCCGCGUGGAGGAAGAAGGUCUUCGGAUUGUAAACUCCUGUUGUUGAGGAAGAUAAUGACGGUACUCAACAAGGAAGUGACGGCUAACUACGUGCCAGCAGCCGCGGUAAAACGUAGGUCACAAGCGUUGUCCGGAAUUACUGGGUGUAAAGGGAGCGCAGGCGGGAAGACAAGUUGGAAGUGAAAUCCAUGGGCUCAACCCAUGAACUGCUUUCAAAACUGUUUUUCUUGAGUAGUGCAGAGGUAGGCGGAAUUCCCGGUGUAGCGGUGGAAUGCGUAGAUAUCGGGAGGAACACCAGUGGCGAAGGCGGCCUACUGGGCACCAACUGACGCUGAGGCUCGAAAGUGUGGGUAGCAAACAGGAUUAGAUACCCUGGUAGUCCACACUGUAAACGAUGAUUACUAGGUGUUGGAGGAUUGACCCCUUCAGUGCCGCAGUUAACACAAUAAGUAAUCCACCUGGGGAGUACGACCGCAAGGUUGAAACUCAAAGGAAUUGACGGGGGCCCGCACAAGCAGUGGAGUAU